rnacentral:rRNA from 1 species
CAGAUCUAGCUUGCUAGAUGCUGACGAGCGGCGGACGGGUGAGUAAUGCAUAGGAAACUGCCCAGUAGUGGGGGAUAGCCCGGGGAAACCCGGAUUAAUACCGCGUACGCCCUCCGGGGGAAAGCAGGGGAUCUUUUGACCUUGCGCUAUUGGAUGUGCCUAUGCCGGAUUAGCUAGUUGGUGGGGUAAGAGCCUACCAAGGCGACGAUCCGUAGCUGGUCUGAGAGGAUGAUCAGCCACAUCGGGACUGAGACACGGCCCGAACUCCUACGGGAGGCAGCAGUGGGGAAUAUUGGACAAUGGGGGCAACCCUGAUCCAGCCACGCCGCGUGUGUGAAGAAGGCUUUCGGGUUGUAAAGCACUUUCAGUGAGGAGGAAAAUUUGUCGGUUAAUACCCGGCAACCUUGACGUUACUCACAGAAGAAGCACCGGCUAACUCCGUGCCAGCAGCCGCGGUAAUACGGAGGGUGCAAGCGUUAAUCGGAAUUACUGGGCGUAAAGCGCGCGUAGGUGGUUUGAUAAGCGAGAUGUGAAAGCCCCGGGCUUAACCUGGGAACGGCAUUUCGAACUGUCAGGCUAGAGUAAGGUAGAGGAGUGUGGAAUUUCCUGUGUAGCGGUGAAAUGCGUAGAUAUAGGAAGGAACACCAGUGGCGAAGGCGGCACUCUGGACCAAUACUGACACUGAGGUGCGAAAGCGUGGGGAGCAGACAGGAUUAGAUACCCUGGUAGUCCACGCUGUAAACGAUGUCUACUAGCCGUUGGGACUCUUGAAGUCUUAGUGGCGCAGCUAACGCACUAAGUAGACCGCCUGGGGAGUACGGCCGCAAGGUUAAAACUCAAAUGAGUUGACGGGGGCCCGCACAAGCGGUGGAGCAUGUGGUUUAAUUCGACGCAACGCGAAGAACCUUACCUGGGCCUUGACAUGCAGAGAACUUUCCAGAGAUGGAUUGGUGCCUUCAGGAACUCUGACACAGUGCUGCAUGGCCGUCGUCAGCUCGUGUCGUGAGAUGU